rnacentral:rRNA from 1 species
GAUGAACGCUGGCGGCGUGCCUAAUACAUGCAAGUCGAGCGAACAGACGAGGAGCUUGCUCCUCUGACGUUAGCGGCGGACGGGUGAGUAACACGUGGAUAACCUACCUAUAAGCCUGGGAUAACUUCGGGAAACCGGAGCUAAUACCGGAUAAUAUAUUGAACCGCAUGGUUCAAUAUUGAAAGACGGUUUUGCUGUCACUUAUAGAUGGCUCCGCGCGGCAUUAGCUAGUUGGUAAGGUAACGGCUUACCAAGGCAACGAUGCGUAGCCGACCUGAGAGGGUGAUCGGCCACACUGGAACUGAGACACGGUCCAGACUCCUACGGGAGGCAGCAGUAGGGAAUCUUCCGCAAUGGGCGAAAGCUUGACGGAGCAACGCCGCGUGAGUGAGGAAGGUCUUCGGAUCGUAAAACUCUGUUAUUAGGGAAGAACAAAUGUGUAAGUAACUAUGCACGUCUUGACGGUACCUAAUCAGAAAGCCACGGCUAACUACGUG